UACAGAGGGUGCGAGCGUUAAUCGGAAUUACUGGGCGUAAAGCGUGCGCAGACGGUUGCGUAAGUCAGAUGUGAAAGCCCCGGGCUCAACCUGGGAAUUGCAUUUGAGACUGCGUAGCUAGGGUGCGGAAGAGGGAAGCGGAAUUUCCGGUGUAGCGGCGAAAUGCGUAGAUAUCGGAAGGAACACCAGUGGCGAAAGCGGCUUCCUGGUCCAGCACCGACGUUCAGGCACGAAAGCGUGGGGAGCAAGCAGG
rnacentral:rRNA from 1 species